rnacentral:ribozyme from 1 species
AAUGGAAAGAAAGGGAAAAGAAGAGGAGCGAGGAAGGAUAGAAAGGGCGAAGAAGCCACCAAAUCUUUCUUUCUUUCUUUUCUUUCUCUCUCUCUAUGUUUGUAUAUGUUC